rfam:Nomascus leucogenys chromosome 6, whole genome shotgun sequence.
AACUAUGGUCACACCGCCCCGAAUGUGUCUGAUCUUGUCUGAUCUCAGAAGCUAAGCAAGGUCAGGUCUGGUUAGUACUUGGAUGGGUGAGAAAAAUAGACGUUUAUACCAU